rnacentral:rRNA from 1 species
AGCGAACGCUGGCGGCAGGCCUAACACAUGCAAGUCGAACGGACCCUUCGGGGUUAGUGGCGGACGGGUGAGUAACACGUGGGAACGUGCCUUUCAGUUCGGACUAGCUCCUGGAAACGGGUGGUAAUGCCGAAUGUGCCCUUCGGGGGAAAGAUUUAUAGCCUUUCGAGCGGACCGCGUCGGAUUAGCUAGUUGGUGAGGUAAUGGCUCACCAAGGCGACGAUCAGUAGCUGGUCUGAGAGGAUGACAAGCCACACUGGGACGGAGACACGGCCCAGACUCCUACGGGAGGCAGCAGUGGGGAAUCUUGCGCAAUGGGCGAAAGCCUGACGCAGCCAUGCCGCGUGAAUGAUGAAGGUCUUAGGAUUGUAAAAUUCUUUCACCGGGGACGAUAAUGACGGUACCCGGAGAAGAAGCCCCGGCUAACUUCGUGCCAGCAGCCGCAGUAA